AUUGAACGCUGGCGGCAGGCCUAACACAUGCAAGUCGAGCGGAGCGGCGGACGGGUGAGUGAUACCUAGGAAUCUGCCUGGUAGUGGGGGAUAACGUCCGGCAACGGGCGCUAAUACCGCAUACUAUCAGAAGAGCCUAGGUCGGAUUGGCUAGUUGGUGGGGUAAAGGCCUACCAAGGCGACGACCCGUAACUGGUCUGAGAGGAUGAUCAGUCACACUGGAACUGAGACACGGUCCAUACUCCUACGGGAGGCAGCAGUGGGGAAUAUUGCACAAUGGGCGCAAGCCUGAUGCAGCCAUGCCGCGUGUAUGAAGAAGGCCUUAGGGUUGUAAAGUACUUUCAGCGGGGAGGCGUUACCCGCAGAAGAAGCACCGGCUAACUCCGUGCCAGCAGCCGCGGUAAUAC
rnacentral:rRNA from 1 species